GAUGAACGCUGGCGGCGUGCCUAAUACAUGCAAGUCGAGCGAACAGACGAGGAGCUUGCUCCUCUGACGUUAGCGGCGGACGGGUGAGUAACACGUGGAUAACCUACCUAUAAGACUGGGAUAACUUCGGGAAACCGGAGCUAAUACCGGAUAAUAUAUUGAACCGCAUGGUUCAAUAGUGAAAGACGGUUUUGCUGUCACUUAUAGAUGGAUCCGCGCCGCAUUAGCUAGUUGGUAAGGUAACAGCUUACCAAGGCAACGAUGCGUAGCCGACCUGAGAGGGUGAUCGGCCACACUGGAACUGGGACGCGGUCCAGACUCCUACGGGAGGCAGCAGUAGGGAAUCUUCCGCAAUGGGCGAAAGCCUGACGGAGCAACGCCGCGUGAGUGAUGAAGGUCUUCGGAUCGUAAAACUCUGUUAUUAGGGAAGAACAAAUGUGUAAGUAACUAUGCACGUCUUGACGGUACCUAAUCAGAAAGCCACGGCUAACUACGUG
rnacentral:rRNA from 1 species